rnacentral:rRNA from 1 species
CCGAUGGAGGGGGAUAACUACUGGAAACGGUAGCUAAUACCGCAUAACGUCGCAAGACCAAAGAGGGGGACCUUCGGGCCUCUUGCCAUCGGAUGUGCCCAGAUGGGAUUAGCUAGUAGUGGGGUAACGGCUCACCUAGGCGACGAUCCCUAGCUGGUCUGAGAGGAUGACCAGCCACACUGGAACUGAGACACGGUCCAG